CUGAGUUGUGAAGAAAAUAUGAAAUAUUUCAAUGUACAGAGCUGAUAUUUUAUCAUCAGCCGAAGAAUUAAAAUCUAAAAAACAACAAAAAAUGUCAUAUUCUAGUUUAGAUUCUGAAGAGAAAAGUCAAAUAUACAACUUUUGCUGUACAACAAAGGUCUUUUAAAUCUGGUUUUGAUCUAACACCAGUGAAGAUAUAAAAAUUGUGAAGUACCAAUACAACAUAUGUCCAGAAAAUUACUAGUUUGUCAUCCAAAACUUAUUUUUUCCCAUAUUAACUGGUCAUGCACUAAAUAUACACAAAGCAUAGGGCUCAUAAACAUUGAACAAAUGAUUAGUAUAAUAAUACAAAAAUACAUGCAUAUAGUUAUGUUGAUAUUUCACCUAUUGGUAUCAUUCAUUUAAUAUUUUAAUAUUUUGUUAAUAGUAAAACACAAAGAGGCUGUCAGCAAAAUAUUUGUUUUCUCUCUCAGACCCACGCGUAAAAUAGAACGAACACUUAAAUAUUUUUUUUAUUAUUUUUGAGUAACCUUGGUGUAAAAUCAACUAUUAUAAAAAUUAUAGAGCAUAAUAUUUUGAGACCAUGACUUAUCAAUUUUAUAUUUUAAUGUUAUUUGACACUGUAUUAACCUUUCA